rnacentral:rRNA from 1 species
GACAGAGGAUGCAAGCGUUAUCCGGAAUGAUUGGGCGUAAAGCGUCUGUAGGUGGCUUUUUAAGUCCGCCGUCAAAUCCCAGGGCUCAACCCUGGACAGGCGGUGGAAACUACCAAGCUGGAGUACGGUAGGGGCAGAGGGAAUUUCCGGUGGAGCGGUGAAAUGCGUAGAGAUGUGGAGGAAUACCGAUGGCGAAGGCAGCCCCCUGGGCCAAUACUGACGCUCAUGCACGAAAGCGUGGGGAGCAAACAGG